rnacentral:lncRNA from 1 species
CCUAGCUGCUGCUGCUGCCUCUCUCUCUCCUCUCCAUCUUCCCUCUCUUCUUCGUCUUCUUCUUUUCUUCUCUUCUUCUUCCUCCUCUCUUCUUUUCCCUCUUCUUCUUCUUUCUUCUCUCCUCACGCCCCACCGCUCCUCUCUGUUUCUCGAAAGAAACAGAGAGUGCGUGGGAGGCGGUGGGAUAAGACCGAAAUUUUCGGUUUUCUUUAUUUUCUUUUCAUUUUGCAACUUAG